UAGGGAAUCUUCGGCAAUGGGGGCAACCCUGACCGAGCAACGCCGCGUGAGUGAAGAAGGUUUUCGGUUCGUAAAGCUCUGUUGUAAGAGAAGAACGUGUGUGAGAGUGGAAAGUUCACACAGUGACGGUAACUUACCAGAAAGGGACGGCUAACUACGUGCCAGCAGCCGCGGUAAUACGUAGGUCCCGAGCGUUGUCCGGAUUUAUUGGGCGUAAAGCGAGCGCAGGCGGUUUAAUAAGUCUGAAGUUAAAGGCAGUGGCUUAACCAUUGUUCGCUUUGGAAACUGUUAAGCUUGAGUGCAGAAGGGGAGAGUGGAAUUCCAUGUGUAGCGGUGAAAUGCGUAGAUAUAUGGAGGAACACCGGUGGCGAAAGCGGCUCUCUGGUCUGUAACUGACGCUGAGGCUCGAAAGCGUGGGGAGCAAACAGG
rnacentral:rRNA from 1 species